GGAAGUUAGGGCUCGCCCCCGGGAGCUCCGCGGACGGGGAGGCGCCGUGAGGGGACUGCAGAAGUGGGCGUGGAAAGCGAGCUGGGCCUGUGCCGGCGGAAACGAAGGGCCGGAGCCCCGGGGUCCUCGCACCCGGCCCCGGUGGCAUCCGGCUGUCGCGGACCCAAGAGGCCGAGCGCGUAGCCCCACAAGGGGCUUCACCGACAGUGGUCACCCCGCUCCACUCUGCCCCACCUUGUGCCGUCCGGCCUAAUCUCUGGCUGGUGGAUUUGUGUUGCUAAACCAAGAGCGACGCCCCACGGCGCGCGCCCGAGUCACUGGUUUCUGCGGCUCUCCGGGAGGGCGUGGGCAGGGCUUGGGCGGCCGCCUUCCUCUCGGGCUCCCUAGCCCGCUGCGGCCUGGGGAACUGUUUAGGCGCGCCCCCUAAAUGACACUUUUUCACUUCCCUAGAGGAAGUUAACCCUGCUGGGACGGAUCCCAAGAAAAAUAAGCUUUAAGGGGGAGGGGAGGUGUGGAAUUACGUGUUCUGCGGCUGGGACUGCCGCAGCCAUAGGAUUCUUAACAUUGUUCCUGAGGACAGGACACCACCGGGAGCUUUACUGCUUUGAAGAUGACUGGAUAGUGUAAAUACAAAGAAGUUACUAUCCCAAUUCAACAGGCAAGGAGCUGGCAAUGCUUUCUCCUCCCUGGCCUUUCAGAAAAAAACUGCUUCUCAAGACUAGGAAUCUGAUUUGCACCAGGUGGACCCUCUAGUCGAAUGUUGGCUCGCGGUAAAGUUUGGAGCCGGGACUCAAACCCGUUCUGAUGCCCAGCAGAGAUACCACCAGAUAUGGAGUCUACAUGAGCCAAACCAAGACCCCCAGGCGAUGCCAGGAAGAUGGGAUUCCAAUAAGUUUCAAGGACCUUCCCAUUUCUGCCCUAACACCCACAUUCCUUUGUCAGGAACAUAUAAAGCCAUCCCCUCCGCCAAUCGAGCAAGGCAGAUUUGGGAAAGGUACCCUGCCUUCUCAUUGUCCUGCCCUUCUGAUAAUAAAGCUUUCUCUGCUUCAAA